GAUGAACGCUAGCGGCAGGCUUAACACAUGCAAGUCGAGGGGCAGCGCGAUGUAGCAAUACGUUGGCGGCGACCGGCGCACGGGUGCGUAACACGUAUGGAAUCUGCCCUUUACUGGGAAAUAACCCGGAGAAAUCCGGACUAAUAUCCCAUAAUAGACGAGGUGGCAUCACCUUGUUUUGAAAGCUCCGGCGGUAAAGGAUGACCAUGCGCCCGAUUAGCUAGUUGGUGAGGUAACGGCUCACCAAGGCUACGGUCGGUAGGGGGCCUGAGAGGGUUAUCCCCCACACUGGUACUGAGACACGGACCAGACUCCUACGGGAGGCAGCAGUGAGGAAUAUUGCGCAAUGGAGGCAACUCUGACGCAGCCAUGCCGCGUGCAGGAAGAAGGCGCUACGCGUUGUAAACUGCUUUUAUCCGGGAAGAAACCCCAGGACGUGUCCUGGGUUGACGGUACCGGAGGAAUAAGCACCGGCUAACUUCGUG
rnacentral:rRNA from 1 species